AGAAGUAGGGAGAAACAAGGCGUGACAAACACCUGCUGCAAAACCUCAUAACCAGCCUCAUAACCAGAUUAAACUAAGCACAGUGCACCAGACUCUGCUACUCUAGACUUCAAACAAAACAGUCUAGGGAUUCUGGAAUUUACUGCUGCUGAGACAAGACAGGAAUGCUGCACCUCAGAUAACACAAUCCAGCAUCCCCUCCCCCACCAGCUUUGGCCCAUACCUGCUGCAGCAUUUCUUCAGUGGCAUUCAGCUUCUCUCUGUGCUCUUCAAGACAGAACUCCAAAUCCCGAAUCUUCUCUCCCUGAGCCUCCACCUGGUCUGUCAACACACUUACCUAUUAAAUCAAAGCAAGAGGCUAUAACGAGUUUGAAA
ensembl:antisense Gm44085 predicted gene, 44085